AGAAGCCAAGCGCGCACACGGCGAUCUCGGGCCGCCCUCCGCCGGCUCCCCGCCGCUGACUGGGUGCUCACUUUAAUGCUGCGGGGAGCCCGGGAGCCCGGGGGCGCCUCGCUCCCCGUUCCCUCCCCAUCCCGUCAGGACUCUUGGCCUGGGGUCCUCCGCCCGGACCGCCCGGCUUUGUGUGGUGGCCCCGUCACCGCCACAGCCUGAGGCACGUCACAAAUCCGAGGAGCGGCCGACAGGACAGUCCUGGUCCCGGGCUCUUGGCGGAUCCGGGUCGGAUGCAACGCGCCCGCCCGCAGGGCUGCGGAUAGACCGGCCGGGGCAAGUCCCUAAGCUCUUCGGAUGUCCCCAACUCGGAGAGGGUUUAUGUUUGUUUUAACUGCCGGACUCCUCUUUCCAUCGGAAUGCCUACUCUGGGUUCUAAAAGAGGAUCUCAGCUGAUUUUCCACUUGCUGCUACUUUAUUUUGGUGUCUAAAGGCUGAUCAGAACUUCAGGGAGCGCCCGACUCCGCUCUGCUCCGCUCUAAGGCCAGCGGUGCCCAGAAGUUCAAAGGACUCUGGGCGGGGCUUGGAGGGCGGAGCCAGGACUACCCUGGCUAGAAGACAAAUUCAGGAUUAACUUUAGUCAAGACCACUCUGAUGCCAGCUUACCAAAGCUGCUAGCCAACAUCGUGGUGGUCUCCCAAUGAUUUUACUGCUCCACAUGAAGAGGAACAGCUUUGACCCCAACAGUCUUAUUAGUGUUUCUAAGAAAGACAAUGAAGUUCAUGGAGGAAGUAUGGGGGGUUGGGGGGGCAGGUUGGUAUUUUGUUUGAGACAGGUCUCACUAUGUUGCUCUGUCUGGCCUGGAACUCACCGUGUAGAUCAAGCAUCCUGAGUGCUGAUACAAACGGCGUGCACCUCCACAAUGAGCAGAAGUGUGCAUCUUUCAAGUGAGCAACAAAAGACAUGAGGAGUGGAAGCCGCCCUGAAGGCUGCUUUGACUGCAUUGUUAGUGGCUGUCCCUAGACAAGUGAAAGCCCCUGGACUGUGGGAAAGACUGUAACAGGAUAUUGAUAUUUAUUAAGGUAAGGGCUCAUGAGAUCUCUCUCAUACUUGGAUCUUGAAAGGUUUAUGAUACUUAGGUAGGCCCAGAAGCACACAGUAUUGAAGUGCUAAUUCUAACUCCCCGAAAGCCUUGGAUCCACUGGGGAAAGGUUACUAGGGGCUUGAUUAGGUCAAAUUAACAACACAGAACUUUCAGAAAAGGUGGGAUCACACUAGCUGCAGUUGUCAGUAAGAAUCGGAAACCCUUGCAACUGUCUUUUCUCUAAUUUGUCUAAGCCCCUUUGGGGGUGCCUGGUUUUCUACAAUUAAAAGUUUAUCUCU
ensembl:lincRNA 4833418N02Rik RIKEN cDNA 4833418N02 gene